rnacentral:rRNA from 1 species
UACAGAGGUCUCAAGCGUUGUUCGGAUUCAUUGGGCGUAAAGGGUGCGUAGGUGGCGCCGUAAGUCGGGUGUGAAAUUUCGGAGCUUAACUCCGAAACUGCAUUCGAUACUGCGGUGCUCGAGGACUGGAGAGGAGACUGGAAUUUACGGUGUAGCAGUGAAAUGCGUAGAGAUCGUAAGGAAGACCAGUGGCGAAGGCGGGUCUCUGGACAGUUCCUGACACUGAGGCACGAAGGCCAGGGGAGCAAACGGG